rnacentral:rRNA from 2 species
GAAUUGCAGAAUUCCGCGAAUCAUCGAGUUUUUGAACGCAAGUUGCGCCCGAGGCUCGUUCCGAGGGCAUGCCUGCCUGAGCGUCCG